GUACACGCUGUGACUAGCAUAUCAAUAAGCGGAGGAAAAGAAACUAACAAGGAUUCCCCUAGUAACGGCGAGUGAAGCGGGAAGAGCUCAAAUUUGAAAUCUUAAAGGGUUUCCCUUUACGAAUUGUAGUUUAAAGAAGUGUUUUCUGUUGAGGUUUUGGUAAAAGUUCUUUGGAAUAGGACAUCAUAGAGGGUGAGAAUCCCGUAUUUGACCUUUACUUUCAACUUUGUGAUACACUUUCAAAGAGUCGGAUUGUUUGGGAAUGCAGUCCAAAGUGGGUGGUAAAUUUCAUCUAAAGCUAAAUAUUGGCGAGAGACCGAUAGCGAACAAGUACCGUGAGGGAAAGAUGAAAAGAACUUUGAAAAGAGAGUUAAACAGUACGUGAAAUUGUCAAAAGGGAAGCGUUUGACACCAGUGUUGUUUUUCUGAAAAUCAAUUAAAGAACUGUUUAUGCUAAGCUGUUUAGACUUUAUCAGCUAUCUGUUUAGUUUUGAGCUUUUCUUUAAUGCACUUUUCAGUUAACAAGUCAACAUCAAUUUCUUUUGCUGUAAAAAAGCUUGAGGAAGGUGGCUUGAGAUUCGUCUUAAGUGUUUAUAGCCUCUUGCCUAUGCAGUCGGAGAGAUUGAGGUCUGCAGCGUAGAUCCUUCGGGGCUAAAUGCAUUUGUGCUAAGUUAUAACAUUUUAUAGACAACUUGUUGACUAUGAUUUGUCUUGUAGCUUACUCGCUUAUGUUAUUUUACCUACGCUUAGGAUGUUGACGAGACUGUCGAUCUC
rnacentral:rRNA from 1 species